UACGGGGGGGGCAAGCGUUGUUCGGAAUUACUGGGCGUAAAGCGCGCGUAGGCGGUGAUCUUUGUCAGAGGUGAAAUCCCGAGGCUCAACUUCGGAAUUGCCUUUGAAACGGGAUCGCUUGAGUCCGAGAGAGGAUGGCGGAAUUCCUAGUGUAGAGGUGAAAUUCGUAGAUAUUAGGAAGAACACCGGUGGCGAAGGCGGCCAUCUGGCUCGGUACUGACGCUCAGGCGCGAAAGCGUGGGGAGCAAACAGG
rnacentral:rRNA from 1 species